AGGAAGUUGUAAAGCAGUGCCCCGCCAUCCAAGAUUUCCGGGAGAGAUGGCCUGCUCUUUUCUCUGAAGCUCAGAUCAAGGAGGAAUUCAAAAAUAUCACAACGGUUCCCUUGAAAAUAACUUUUCUUACUAAGCUGGACUUCUACACUCCAAAAAUGCAGGAGAUAUUCAGCAAAAAAGGCGGAGUAGCUGGGACCAAAAUACGACCACCUCUGGAUUCACUCAGCCAGAUACCUUGACCAGGGCAUAACCGAUUAUCUUCACCUAAGAGACCUACUGUUGGACAAUCGUUUUGGAUUUAAAGAAUCUUGGCAAGACGCGAUGAGAUAUUUGGUGCGCUUCCAAACAGGUUCCAGCGUUGAAACGACGGACGAUGACAAGAAGGGAAAGCGAAAG